UGCGCAGGCGGUUGAGUAAGACAGAUGUGAAAUCCCCGAGCUUAACUCGGGAAUGGCAUAUGUGACUGCUCGACUAGAGUGUGUCAGAGGGAGGUGGAAUUCCACGUGUAGCAGUGAAAUGCGUAGAUAUGUGGAAGAACACCGAUGGCGAAGGCAGCCUCCUGGGACAUAACUGACGCUCAGGCACGAAAGCGCGGGGAGCAAACA
rnacentral:rRNA from 1 species